ACAGGCGUGAGCGGCCGCGCCCGGCUGUUCAUUGCAUCUUAAAAAUAGUAGCACUUUGUUGUGUGUCUACUGUUGUUUUCCCUCCGUUUUUCUUGGUUUUGAACUAGUUUAUUUAUUUUUAUUUUUUAUUUUUUUGCCAUAUAGAAGGGUUACAAAGUUAAAUGUUUCCAUAUUUUCCAUUCUAGCUUCUGGUAGUAACUAGAAUUUACCUAAGCCCAGGAGAAAAAAAAAAGUCACCUAUGUUUUAUUCUGGCUUUGUACUGUUUUCAUUUGCUCUGUUAUAAUUUUAGUAUAAGAAAUCCAGGAAAUCUAUUUUGCUUCCCAAAUGGCCGUCCAAUCAGGAUUUACUUUUUACCACUUGGUUGGAGAGGUAGGGGAAGAGGAGACUGGAAAAAAUAGAAGCUGAAGGCAGGACUAGAUGUGUCUCCCUCCCCAGCCUCCUUUCUCUGCAGAGGUGGAGGAAUCAGGGAAGCUAUCGUGGCUUUAGGUGUUGACUUUUGUCUAUCUUUGCUGAAGCCAGGAGUGAAAUUGAGACAAUAUUCCGGUUCUUGGAACCUGAGUUAGCGUUAAAGGGGAUGACAAACAGGCUGUUGUUAGGAGGUAGUUCCAUGCAACAGGAAGAGUUUCCACCUCCCUCAGAGGUUGCCUUUCUCAUUUCUCCAAAUGAUUUGACAGUUGGCCUAAGUUUCCUUUACUUCUCCCUACCAUGGUGUGAGAUUAACUUGAAUGCGGACACUAUGUGGUGGUGAGCGGCAGUGGGUGUAUCUUGCCCAUACACCCCUGGAGGACAGGGACUGACCAACUCACCCAACGGUCCUCUGCAUGCACAGGGUCCCCGCACAUGGCACAUAGUUGGUGCUCAGAAGGCAUUUGCAGGAACAAAGGAAAACACAAGCACCCACCGCAGUGAUGGCUGAUUUUGUCUUGUCUGCAAUGGAGGUUAGUCACCACUAGGUGUCAUGGCGAGUCAAGUAAAAUGUUGGUUCAUGGUUACAAAUUAUGCAUUUACUGUAUUCAUCUUCAUGCAUGCACACAUGCAAUGUUUUAAAAAGCAUCUGUUGAGUGUCUUCUGCAUGACACACAUGUUCUGGUGCUGGGGAUCCUGCCCUGGCUGAGCUUCUGGACCCGGUGGGGAGAAAUCCACAGUGAGUACUGAGAGGAGGGGCCAAAGUCCGGUGGAGGCACCUAGGAGGAGCGCCUGCUUACCCUGGAGGGAUGGGGAGCAGCUUCCAGAGCGAGGAGCCUUCUAAGGUUAGGCCGCAUGUCUACUGGAGCCUGGGCCAUCAGGUCCACCUGAAUCAGAUGAGUUGAGGAAAGGAAAGAGAGAGAACAUCAGUGGAAAUCCAGUGUGAUCGGAAGCUUCCCGAGGCCUCCCAGAAGCUGAGCAGAUGUUAGCACCUUGCUUCCUGUACGGCCUGCAGAACCAUGAGCCAAUUAAACCUCUUUUCUUUAGAAGUUA